AGAGUUUGAUCAUGGCUCAGGAUGAACGCUAGCGGCAAGCUUAAUACAUGCAAGUCGAGGGGCAGCAUGAAGUAGCAAUACUUUGAUGGCGACCGGCAAACGGGUGCGGAACACGUACACAACCUUCCUUUUAGUGGGGAAUAGCCCAGAGAAAUUUGGAUUAAUACCCCGUAACAUAACCGGGUGGCAUCACUUGGUUAUUAUAGCUUCGGCGCUAAAUGAUGGGUGUGCGUAUGAUUAGAUAGUUGGCGAGGUAACGGCUCACCAAGUCUACGAUCAUUAGCUGAUGUGAGAGCAUGAUCAGCCACACGGGCACUGAGACACGGGCCCGACUCCUACGGGAGGCAGCAGUAAGGAAUAUUGGUCAAUGGACGCAAGUCUGAACCAGCUAUGCCGCGUGAAGGAUUAAGGUCCUCUGGAUUGUAAACUUCUUUUAUCUGGGACGAAAAAAGGUCUUUCUAGACCCCUUGACGGUACCAGAUGAAUAAGCACCGGCUAACUCCGUGCCAGCAGCCGCGGUAAUACGGAGGGUGCAAGCGUUAUCCGGAUUCACUGGGUUUAAAGGGUGCGUAGGCGGGUAGGUAAGUCAGUGGUGAAAUCCUGGAGCUCAACUCCAGAACUGCCAUUGAUACUAUCUAUCUUGAAUAUUGUGGAGGUAAGCGGAAUAUGUCAUGUAGCGGUGAAAUGCUUAGAUAUGACAUAGAACACCCAUUGCGAAGGCAGCUUACUACGCAUAUAUUGACGCUGAGGCACGAAAGCGUGGGGAUCAAACAGGAUUAGAUACCCUGGUAGUCCACGCCCUAAACGAUGGAUACUCGACAUACGCGAUACACUGUGUGUGUCUGAGCGAAAGCAUUAAGUAUCCCACCUGGGAAGUACGUUCGCAAGAAUGAAACUCAAAGGAAUUGGCGGGGGUCCGCACAAGCGGUGGAGUAUGUGGUUUAAUUCGAUGAUACGCGAGGAACCUUACCUGGGCUAGACAUAUACAGGAAAAGCGUAGAAAUACGCUCCCCGCAAGGUCUGUAUACAGGUGGUGCAUGGUUGUCGUCAGCUCGUGUCGUGAGAUGUUGGGUUAAGUCCCGCAACGAGCGCAACCCUCGUCCUAUGUUGCCAGCACGUAAUGGUGGGAACUCAUGGGAGACUGCCGGGGUCAACUCGGAGGAAGGUGGGGAUGACGUCAAAUCAUCAUGCCCCUUAUGUCUUGGGCUUCACGCAUGCUACAAUGGCCGGUACAAAGGGCUGCAAUACCGCAAGGUGGAGCGAAUCCCAUAAAGCCGGUCUCAGUUCGGAUUGGGGUCUGCAACUCGACCCCAUGAAGUCGGAGUCGCUAGUAAUCGUAGAUCAGCAACGCUACGGUGAAUACGUUCCCGGGCCUUGUACACACCGCCCGUCAAGUCACGAAAGUCGGUAACACCCGAAGCCGGUGGCCUAACCGUAAGGAAGGAGCCGUCGAAGGUGGGAUCGGUGAUUGGGACUAAGUCGUAACAAGGUAGCCGUA
rnacentral:rRNA from 1 species